GCUGGGUGUGGUGGUGCACGCUUGUAAUCCCAGCUACUCGGGAGGCUGAGGCAGGAGAAUCGCUUGAACCCGGGAGGCCGAGGUUGCAGUGAGCUGAGAUCACAGCACUGCACUCCAGCCUGGGCGACAGAGCAAGACUCUGUCUCAA
ensembl:misc_RNA Metazoa_SRP Metazoan signal recognition particle RNA